rnacentral:rRNA from 1 species
UACAGAGGGUGCAAGCGUUGUCCGGAAUCAUUGGGCGUAAAGAGCGUGUAGGCGGUCCGGUAAGUCCGCUGUGAAAGUCGGGGGCUCAACCCUCGAAUGCCGGUGGAUACUGUCGGGCUAGAGUGCGGAAGAGGCGAGCGGAAUUCCUGGUGUAGCGGUGAAAUGCGCAGAUAUCAGGAGGAACACCUAUUGCGAAGGCAGCUCGCUGGGACGUAACUGACGCUGAGACGCGAAAGCGUGGGGAGCAAACAGG